ensembl:snRNA U6 U6 spliceosomal RNA
GUGCUCACUCCGGCAGCACAUAUACUAAAAUUGGAACGAUACAGAGAAGAUUAGCAUGGCCCCUGCACAAGGAUGACAUGCAAAUUCGUGACAUUCCAUAUUUUU